UGAGCUUCCCAGAUCUUAAGGUGGUCUAA
rnacentral:piRNA from 1 species